rnacentral:rRNA from 1 species
AGAGUUUGAUCCUGGCUCAGAACGAACGCUGGCGGCAGGCUUAACACAUGCAAGUUGAACGGGAACAUACGAUAGCUUGCUAUAGUAUGUGAGAGUGGCGCACGGGUGAGUAAUACAUGGGAACAUACCUUAAAGUGGGGGAUAACUUCUGGAAACGGAUGCUAAUACCGCAUAUACCCUGAGGGGGAAAGAUUUAUCGCUUUAAGAUUGGCCCAUGGCAGAUUAGGUAGUUGGUGGGGUAAAGGCCUACCAAGCCGACGAUCUGUAGCUGGUCUGAGAGGACGAUCAGCCACAUUGGGACUGAGACACGGCCCAGACUCCUACGGGAGGCAGCAGUGAGGAAUAUUGGGCAAUGGGGGCAACCCUGACCCAGCCAUGCCGCGUGAGUGAAGAAGGUUUUCGAAUUGUAAAGCUCUUUCGGAUGUGACGAUGAUGACGGUAGCAUCUAAAGAAGCCCCGGCAAACUUCGUGCCAGCAGCCGCGGUAAUACGAAGGGGGCGAGCGUUGUUCGGAAUUACUGGGCGUAAAGGGUGUGUAGGUGGACGUGUAAGAUAGCGGUGAAAUGCCGGAGCUCAACUUCGGAAUUGCCAUUAUAACUAUGCGUCUAGAAUUAUAGAGAGGAUAGCGGAAUACCCAGUGUAGAGGUGAAAUUCGUAGAUAUUGGGUAGAACACCAGUGGCGAAGGCGGCUAUCUGGCUAUAUAUUGACACUGAGGCACGAAAGCAUGGGGAUCAAACAGGAUUAGAUACCCUGGUAGUCCAUGCCGUAAACGAUGAAUGCUGGUUGUCGGACGAAUGUUCGGUGACGAAGUUAACGCGAUAAGCAUUCCGCCUGGGGAGUACGGCCGCAAGGUUAAAACUCAAAGGAAUUGACGGGGACCCGCACAAGCGGUGGAGCAUGUGGUUUAAUUCGA